UAAAGGUUGACUGUGCCCUCACAGUUGUGAUCAGCAACAGAAAUUUGUAUAUUUGGGACAUGUGGUGCCAGCAGACGCUACAUCUGGAAAAAUGUUUAUGUUUGACAAGGAUCAGGGAGCUGAAAACAGAUAAGGCUCUCACAAGUCUGUUUUUCUAAGGAACAUGUUGAACAGCAGAUGGUAGUACUUCAAAAAACACCACCACCACCACAAUGCAUUGUAAUCUGCAUUUCAACACAUAGACCCUAAUUAAUCCCCAUUUAAUUACCAGUCCCUGUGCAUAACUGUAUAACGAAUAAUCUUCAAACAAUUGGACAAGAACUGUUUAUAUUCUAAUGCCAAGAGAAGAUUACAACAGAGAAGAUUAUAACAUUGGAAAGAGGUUGACAUGACAAAGAUGGCAUGCAGGGAUUGCUCAAACCAAAAUGGCCCGGUGGAAUUUAAAAAGAAGGCUUCUGAAAAUGAAAAUGUAGCUUCUGGCAAGUUCAAGACAGUUAAAGGAGUGAUCCUGAAGAGUUCUCUCUACUUGGUUUGAGUAAUGCUGCAGAUCCAAUUUGGAAUACAAGCGGUCAGAAAUUUUCCCAAGAAUGCACAGCCUUCCGUUUGUGAAAAUCAAGGUAAAACAGAUGAAACUGGUUUAGUGAGAUUCAAACCAGUGUUGCAGUUGCACUUCCAUGCACUCAAAAAUACCUCUUUGAAUCAAACAUAAAUCAUUGUAUAGCACAGAGUUGUCAAACUUGUGACCUCUGGGCCAAAAUGCUUCGUGCAUUGGCCACACCCAGCCUUAGUUUAUUGAAGGGGGUGGGGAGUCACAAUACAUCACAUGAUGACAAUGUGACACCAUGAGUUUGACACCCUGGCAUAGCACAAUGAAGCCUAGAAAAUAUGUAUAGAUCUAACUUUGCACUCAAACAAAUAUAACAGAGGGGCAAACUAGAUGAUGCAUUAAAUAUCACAUGGUCAUCCUUCUGACUCUUUUUAGGGAAAGUGAUUAGUAAUCCAAAUAAAAUCAUUUACUUGUA